rnacentral:rRNA from 1 species
AUCCAGCCAUGCCGCGUGUGUGAAGAAGGUCUUCGGAUUGUAAAGCACUUUAAGUUGGGAGGAAGGGCAGUAAAUUAAUACUUUGCUGUUUUGACGUUACCGACAGAAUAAGCACCGGCUAACUCUGUGCCAGCAGCCGCGGUAAUACAGAGGGUGCAAGCGUUAAUCGGAAUUACUGGGCGUAAAGCGCGCGUAGGUGGUUCGUUAAGUUGGAUGUGAAAUCCCCGGGCUCAACCUGGGAACUGCAUUCAAAACUGACGAGCUAGAGUAUGGUAGAGGGUGGUGGAAUUUCCUGUGUAGCGGUGAAAUGCGUAGAUAUAGGAAGGAACACCAGUGGCGAAGGCGACCACCUGGACUGAUACUGACACUGAGGUGCGAAAGCGUGGGGAGCAAACAGGAUUAGAUACCCUG